rnacentral:lncRNA from 1 species
UCGAAAUUAGCCAUUAAAUAAUUGUAAAUACAAUAUAAGAUAACUCCUAAAAAUACAAAAUAAUUACCUAUCGGAGUACAGAAUCCACUCAUUGCAGUUAUCUUCUAACGAUCAAUGAAUGGAUCCAAACAGAAAGCCCUUUAUACUCGGACUUCGUCAUCGGGUCACCUUCUUGAGCCAAGGUUCAAUACAGUAAACCUCUCCAUCAUCAUCUAAGGGCAAGAUAGAGGGCCAAAUCUGCACAUUCAUCAACUAUCAUCGAAGUUCUAUCUAAACAUGCAUUUUCAUAUU